UACGAAGGGAGCUAGCGUUGUUCGGAAUCACUGGGCGUAAAGCGCACGUAGGCGGAUGUGUCAGUCAGGGGUGAAAUCCCGGAGCUCAACUUCGGAACUGCCUUUGAUACAGCACGUCUUGAGUCCGAUAGAGGUGGGUGGAAUUCCUAGUGUAGAGGUGAAAUUCGUAGAUAUUAAGAAGAACACCGGCGGCGAAGGCGGCCCACUGGAUCGGUACUGACGCUGAGGUGCGAAAGCGUGGGGAGCAAACAGG
rnacentral:rRNA from 1 species